UCCGAGACAGGGAGAUAAUGAGUCACUUUACACUGGGAAGUUUUAAUUACACUCUGUGUGGUUCAUAAGUCUGAGUUAGAAUCUCUUAGUCCCGCGUUUGCAGCAGAUGGGAAAAUGGCUGCGGCCCUCAGGCGGUGAUAUGGCCACCAUCUUUAUUGUGGGCAAGGUACAGGAUAUUAAAUCAGAAUAAUUGAGGCUGGGAUCUCAAAAGCAAGUUUUUACAGAAAAUGGAUUCAUCCGGAUCUGAAUAUCAUUGGCAUUUAACUGUGGAAGGAGAAAGGAUGAGGCUGUCACUGGCUCGGCCAGCAUUUAUUGCUGCGU